UGGGUAACCUGCCUCAAAGAGGGGAAUAGCCUCCCGAAAGGGAGAUUAAUACCGCAUAAUAUGUUUUAGUCGCAUGACUUAAACAUCAAAGGAUUUUCUUUUAGAAAUUCCACUUUGAGAUGGACCCGCGGCGCAUUAGCUAGUUGGUGAGGUAACGGCUCACCAAGGCAACGAUGCGUAGCCGACCUGAGAAGGUGAUCGGCCACAUUGGAACUGAGACACGGCCCAGACUCCUAGGGAGG
rnacentral:rRNA from 1 species